UACGGGGGGGGCAAGCGUUGUUCGGAAUUACUGGGCGUAAAGGGCUCGUAGGCGGCCAACUAAGUCGGACGUGAAAUCCCUCGGCUUAACCGGGGAACUGCGUCCGAUACUGGAUGGCUUGAGUAUGGGAGAGGGAUGGGGAAUUCCAGGUGUAGCGGUGAAAUGCGUAGAUAUCUGGAGGAACACCGGUGGCGAAGGCGGCAUCCUGGACCAUUACUGACGCUGAGGAGCGAAAGCCAGGGGAGCAAACGGG
rnacentral:rRNA from 1 species